CUGAGGAUGAUGAUGCUGAGAAAGGUUUCGCUAACUGGACUGAAGUGCUGUGAUGUCACUUCCUCUUGGCUGUCUGACCAG